GCUCGCGCGGGGCCGCUCGGGUCCGGACGCGGGGCCGUACCGGUGUGCGCCGCCUGGGGCCCGGCCGGCGCGGCGGGGGAACGAGCUGGGGGCGGCGAGGGUCGCCGUGACCUGUAGAGCGCCAGCCGGGGGUGGGUACAUGUGCGGGGGCAGCAGCAGCCAUACUCUGGUUUCUCUUCAAAUCGUAUAAAUCUUUCGCCUUUUACUAAAGAUUUCCGUGGAGGGGAACAAGCACGAGUGUCAGGGAAUUUUUUGAGGCUCCAUUUCGGUGGAGCUGUCUCUGCGCUAGUGAAAGAUAGAACGAAUGAACCGACCCAACCAGACUUUGUCUGAGGGAGCCUGUGCUGGCGUACGUUAAGCAGGCAGCUGCUGCAAAAGUUAUUGGGGGAUGAUGGCCUGUCUCAUUGCAGCGUAUUAGCCAAGGAGUUAGCAGAAGUGGCUGAAGACCUGAUCCAGC
rnacentral:lncRNA from 1 species